CAGUCGCCGCGGGAAUACGAAGGGGGCUAGCGCUGCUCGGAAUCACUGGGCGUAAAGGGUGCGUAGGCGGGUCUUUAAGUCAGGGGUGAAAUCCUGGAGCUCAACUCCAGAACUGCCUUUGAUACUGAAGAUCUUGAGUUCGGGAGAGGUGAGUGGAGCUGCGAGUGUAGAGGUGAAAUUCGUAGAUAUUCGCAAGAACACCAGUGGCGAAGGCGGCUCACUGGCCCGAUACUGACGCUGAGGCACGAAAGCGUGGGGAGCAAACAGGAUUAGAUACCCCUGUAGUCCCUGUCUCUUAUAC
rnacentral:rRNA from 1 species